rnacentral:rRNA from 1 species
UACGUAGGGUGCGAGCGUUGUCCGGAAUUACUGGGCGUAAAGAGCUCGUAGGUGGUUUGUCGCGUUGUUCGUGAAAACUCACAACUCAAUUGUGGGCGUGCGGGCGAUACGGGCAGACUGGAGUACUGCAGGGGAGACUGGAAUUCCUGGUGUAGCGGUGAAAUGCGCAGAUAUCAGGAGGAACACCGGUGGCGAAGGCGGGUCUCUGGGUAGUAACUGACGCUGAGGAACGAAAGCGUGGGUAGCGAACAGG